AACGAACGCUGGCGGCAUGCCUAACACAUGCAAGUCGAACGAGACCUUCGGGUCUAGUGGCGCACGGGUGCGUAACGCGUGGGAACCUGCCCUUAGGUUCGGAAUAACUCCCCGAAAGGGGUGCUAAUACCGGAUAAUGUCUUCGGACCAAAGAUUUAUCGCCUUUGGAUGGGCCCGCGUUGGAUUAGCUAGUUGGUAGGGUAAAAGCCUACCAGGGCGACGAUCCAUAGCUGGUCUGAGAGGAUGAUCAGCCACACUGGGACUGAGACACGGCCCAGACUCCUACGGGAGGCAGCAGUGGGGAAUAUUGGACAAUGGGCGAAAGCAUGAUCCAGCAAUGCCGCGUGAGUGAUGAAGGCCUUAGGGUUGUAAAGCUCUUUUACCCGGGAUGAUAAUGACAGUACCGGGAGAAUAAGCCCCGGCUAACUCCGUG
rnacentral:rRNA from 1 species